rnacentral:lncRNA from 1 species
UGAACUCAUGCACUGGAUUUGGUCCAAGUACAUUUUGUUUCUUGAUUUCCAGCCAGGCUUCUCUCAGUUGUGAUGCAUUCUCUUCUUUGCUUCCCUCCUUCCCCAGUCCUGUUCUCUCUUUUUAUAAUGCUUUCAACUUUUCCAUGUGACUGAACCAACACAGAGGAAAACCCACCAGCUUAGGUAGGGCUUCCACAAGAGUGGGGCCAGAGGGACUUCUUUGUGAACGGCCAGCCCCUCACGCAGCCCCGGCCUGCACGGCGAGGUUUGUCUGAGGCAGCUGAAGCAGAAAGCAUUUGAACUCUGCCCUCUACCAAAUGAUUUCCAGAUGUGUAAACCCCAGCCUCCCGCUGCACUCUGACUGUAGCCCUGCCAACGUACAUCUGCAGAUUCCUAGUGCACAGGAAACUUGAAAGAGUAUCUUUACAACAUCUGCUGUCUUUUCCCAGCUCUCCCUCUCUGCCUUCUCGGACUUUGCCCCGUAUUUUAUAUCCUCUCUUCAACAAAUCCAUUAGAGAACUGCUGCACAGCCCUUCUUGGCUCACAGAUGCCAGCUGUCUGUUUCACCCCAGAGCCUGUUCUUGGCUCUCUCAAGCACCACUAGAAUCAUUGACCGAAGCACCACUAGAAUCAUUAAAGAAGCUUAUUGGGCUCAUGGAGGGGAAAAAAAGGACCAAGUUUUCUCCAUUGGAUUGGUGCCAGUCUACAAGCUGCAAAGGGAGAUUUAGCCAUAAGGAGGUCAGAGCAGAGCCCUAAAGAUGGAAACACGAGUUUGCAUGGAGAGUUUGCCUGCUAUACCUGAGAGAAGGUGAGGUCUGCUUAUAGGGGGAACUUUUUUCCAUGGACAUUCAGUUUCUUGGAACAAACAAGGCAGGCUUCUGUAAAAUGGGAAGUAUUGAUGUACAGAAUGAGUUCCUUGCCUUCCCCUUCCCUAGGGCAUGCUACCCAUCAAGCUAAGAGGCCAGAAGAAGAUCUUUUUAUAAUGUAACUCAAAGGAGGGGAGAAAAGAGCCAGAGACCCUUUUAGCAUAAUGGAGCAGAUGAUUUUUACUAAGGCGUGCACUCUCACCAGGGAAAUGGCUUGAUUGCUGUGUAAAUAGAUGCUUGACCUUCAUCCUGCCAUUCAUCCAUAUGGACCCUAAACGCUCUCCAGCUCUAUCCUAGGGGACAUGGAAUGGAGGUUUUCCAAAGACAUUGGAACACCCCUGUAGCCAUAGUAGCUCUUUUUUAAAGAGGAGAGGAAUCUGUAGAUUCUUUCACAUGAGGGUGGGUGAGUAAAAGUUAAGCAAACAAUUCCCUUGUGCAUGAUUAUUUAGCUUAUGGUGAACCUAUGGUUAACUGUGGAGCUCUGAUACUCUGGCAACCUCCUAAGGGUAGAAUGCAAACUCCAUUUCUAGGCAGCAUUGCUGAUGAUAAAAAUGACCCCGAUUGGUAGAUUGCAUCUGGACUGGGAGGAACCAUAAACAAAUCAUAAUAUCUGCCAGGGACGCGAUGCUUUGUGCUUCCCUGAAAGUGGUUACGUUUUUAAGGUGCAUCUUGGGGCAAUAAAAGCAAUGUCUAGGGAGUUGUCUCAGGAGAUAUUGGCUCCUUUGAAGAGUGAGCUUUUUAAUCAGGUUAGCCCUCACAUCUGCCCAAUGUGGAACUCAUCCCUCAUACCUGAACUGCCUCUGGGUGGAAGAAAAUGCUGGAUGGCUGUGAGUUGAGAGGAUUUGAAAUGGAACACAAAGUGUAUUUGAUACUCCUAAGCCCAGGGUCAGACAGAUUCUAAGCUAGUCCUGGGUGAUGAUCUCUACCUCCUAGUAUUGUAUAAUCCUUCCCCUCGAGUAACUUGCUUCUAACAGAUAGAAUAUGCAAUAUUGAAGGUGUUACUUCUGUUACUAGGUUACAAAAAUUGUGAUUUCUGUCUUGUUAGCAAAUUCUUUCUCUUAUUGGCUUUGAUGAAGUAAGUUGAUAUGUUAGAGAGGCCUACAUGGCAAAGAACUGAGGACACCGUAUCGUUCACAGUUAGCAAGCAACCAGAGUCUUCAUUCCAGAGCCUUUGAGGAACAAAAUCCUGCCAAAAACCACAUAAGUGAGUUUGGAAGCAAAUCUUCCUUUAGUCAAACCUUCAGAUGAGAUCUCAGCCCUAUCUGACACCUUGGUUGCAGUCUUGUGAGAGUCUAAAAGUAGAAGUCUAGCUAAGCUCUCCCUGCAUUCUUGACUCUCAGGAACUGUGAGAUAAAAUAUAUAUAUAUAUUAUAUAUAUUAUUUUAAGGUGAUAAAUUUUAGGGUAGUUUGUUACUAGGAUGACCAACAGUGUUGGUUUGCCUAAGACUAACUCAAGACUGUCCCAGUUCUGGCACUGAUAAUCCUGAGUUCCAGUAAAUCCCUCAGCCUUGGACAAACUGGAACAAUUGUUACUCUAUUUGUGAUAGACAAUUAGUACAUAUAUGCAUAUGUUAUUUCUCACUUAAGCAAGUGUAUCUUCAAGAUAGACUCCUAGAAGUGGGUUUUUGGGGUCUAAACAGUAAAGUCACCUAGAAUUUUAUGUUUCUAAAUUCCCCUUCAUAAGGUUUGUACCAUUUUGUACUCCCAUCUGCAAGAUGAAAAUGCUUGUUUCUCCAUGGUCUGCUGUUUUCAUUACCAGUUUAUUUGAUAAUUAAAGCAAUUUAAUCUUUUAUUAUCUAAGUGUAAGCUGAUUCAUAGUCUCUUAGAAUAAAGAAAUACAUUUAAACAUUAAUUAACACUUGUAGAAUUGAACUGCAUGAUUUAUACUUUAUUUCGA